rnacentral:rRNA from 1 species
GGGGGAAUAUUGCACAAUGGGCGAAAGCCUGAUGCAGCGACGCCGCGUGAGGGAUGACGGCCUUCGGGUUGUAAACCUCUUUCAGCAGGGACGAAGCGCAAGUGACGGUACCUGCAGAAGAAGCACCGGCUAACUACGUGCCAGCAGCCGCGGUAAUACGUAGGGUGCAAGCGUUGUCCGGAAUUACUGGGCGUAAAGAGUUCGUAGGCGGUUUGUCGCGUCGUUUGUGAAAACCAGCAGCUCAACUGCUGGCUUGCAGGCGAUACGAGCAGACUUGAGUACUGCAGGGGAGACUGGAAUUCCUGGUGUAGCGGUGAAAUGCGCAGAUAUCAGGAGGAACACCGGUGGCGAAGGCGGGUCUCUGGGCAGUAACUGACGCUGAGGAACGAAAGCGUGGGUAGCGAACAGG